GACGCGAGCAGCAGCCCAACGCAACCCGAAUCAACAGCUCAUAUGUCCCCAUCUCAUCACCUCAUCGUCCUUUGCUUAGAAUCGGAUGGCUCCCUUCAUCUUGUCGUUGAGAAUUGUACUAUUCAAGCUGACAACCUUAUCCUUUUGAAGGGAUUCGAAUUUCAAAUUCGAAAUUCACUGAAGUUUUCACCCGAUUUCCCCCCAAUUUCGACCUAGUUUCUCCCCUAUUUAUACCCCUAUUUCUUUCUUUGUUGGGGUUGGAGGAAGGCAGUAUCGAUUAGGAAGAAAGCAAAGCUAAUAGUAUUCACAUAACCAUACAUUUCUAGACCUUCCGUUUCAUAUAAGCUCCCGUUGAAAUUCCUUUGCCUGAGUUCCCCGGAGUCUGCCGGAGUUAUCGUUGUUAUGGUGUGAAGGUUUCGUUGUUCAGCUCGUUUGUCUCAGUUUGUUGCCCCCCAAAAGUUCAUCAUGAACUCUUUUUUCCCCGCAUUUCGAGAGAGUCGUUAAUGCUCAAGUCUUUUAUUGAGUCGGCCAGCCAAAAGAAUUGAAGAGCAAUUCCAUGAAUUCGGCGCACUGGUCUUCGGAGCAGACAUAUGGGAUUGUAUACACUAGUAUACAUCUAGUGUAUACGAAAAGUGGGAAAAUGGUCCCCUUUACUUUGGGAUUGUAUUUUGUUAUUUUGGGCCUAAGCCCUUGUCAUUUUACUUGUUAUUAUCUUGUUAGAUCUUAGGACAGGUGCAAAUGGGUCAAAGGCCUAAACUCUCUCUCCCUAUUUUAUUUGUUUUCGUAUUCGCUUAAUUGUUUAUUUGCUAGUUAA